rnacentral:misc_RNA from 1 species
CAUACAAGGUAAUUAAUUUAAGGAAAUAAACUGAUGCGAUCUGUGGCAACACACUUCCCAGCUAACCAACAGAGAAUGCAACAAACUAAGGUAAUCCACCAAUGUUAUCAAUAAGCUAAAUUGAAAUGUUAACCGUAACUUAAUUGAAGCACCAACAAUACAUGCUUUAAGAGGCAGUGCCAUCUCCAUUAUCUGACGGCUGCUCAGAUGCAGGUUUUUUCGCUGGACUAGAUUCUGUGGUUGUGUUUAGAUGCACCCUCUUGACUCCUCUUCCAACUACUCCAAGAUGGGUUAUUCCAGCUGCACCAUUUGUGUGGG